AUUUUUGUUUCAUUAAGGGUAAAUUAGGAAUUCUGAUUGACAAAAAAGUAUACUGGUUGACAUUUUUUUAAUUUAAAAACUAGGUAAUUAGGUGUCUGGUUUUUAUUGGUUAGGAACACCAGCUGGUGUACCCAGUACCCAGUAAAAUUUCUCCUCUCUCAGAAACCUUAUUUUCUCACAAACCUCUCUUUGCCUUCUCUCCUAUCUCCGCUUCCCUCUGUGCCUUCCUUUCUUCCAGAAAACGCUCGAGUUAGUUAAAUUGUAGUUAAUUGAUUUAGAUCUUUUCAUCGGGGGUUACAAUCGGCAACGCUCUCUUGCUGAAAAUAGCGAAUUUGGUCUCGAUUUGAAGAAAAUUUGAAGCCCAUAAAAGAUUGCAUCUCCUACUGCCGAUUUGAUUUGGGAGCUGGGGUUUUUCGAAUUUGUGACUUUUCGUUGAAGUCUGCAAAGACCUCUGUGUUUAAUCUGAAGUAGCUAAAGUUAAGAAAGAACAAUUGUGGCUUAAAGUCUUGAUAAGUUGAAUCUCAGUUCGAUUCUACCAACAGCCGCAACCGUUCAGACUUUGAUAUUGGUUUUGAAAAUAGUGAAAACACCAUAAAACAAACUGAUUUUCUCAACCGAAGAUUAUGAUAUAUGUUUCUAAGCGGUUGGCCUGUGGAAAGUAAAAAACAAACUGAGCAAUUAUAAGAUUUGACCAAGUAAAUGGUUUCGCAUUUGGUUAUUUAGGAUAAUUACAUGCGUGAGGAUUAUUAAAUGAUAUAUUUGAUAAAUUCGUCUAAUUUUAUGGUAGGAGGCUUUAGAUUAGAACUCACUUUAUGGUUUUGCAUUAGAAGACAAUCUGUACUUAACUUAUUAAGCAAGUCUGGAGGAAAUCUGCUCUUAGUUGAUGCUCUGUCUCCGUCUUUUUUGCCUGCUUUAAUAUGCUUUCUUCUGAUUUCUAAUUUUUAAAAUUUUUUAUUUUUGUUUUAUUAAUUUUAUUCGGAAGAUUUUCACAGAAUGGCUUCAAUUGAGUUAGGUUUUGUUCAAUUUAAUCUCAUUAGUUUCAUUCCAAUUCAAUGAUUUUGUGUAACACUGAGUUUUCUAUUGGAGAAUAAAUUUUCUUCGUAGUUCAUUCUAUUUUGUUUUAUUUUCUGAUUUGGAUUUUGAAAUCGAGACUCCUAGCUUUGCCCUCAUCAAGAAUUUUUUUAGUAAAAUGCAGGUGCAGAAUGAAUGACCAAUCAAUGUGGGAGAAGCUUUUAAUUUUUUUGGGUUCAAUUUUAAAUGGGUUGUUAUCAACCAUUGAAUUGCUUUUGGAGUUUUCAUUUGAUAAGAGAGAUGGGGGGGUUCUUUUGGGUGAAACUUUUGAUCCGUGAGAUUUUUAGUUAGGUUGUGUUGUGGGUUUUCGCAAAUUUCUACCGUGUUUAUGCAUGCAUUUUUUGUUAUAGAUUUGGAAGAAAAUAGUAUUACAAGGUGUUGAGGGUUUGUUGGCGGGGGAAGGCAGCAGCGUUAAGAUUUUGCCGGUGAGAUAUUAGGGUGAGAGAAAAAGGGGACAAAGAGCAUCGAAGACACAUUUGGGAUUAGGGGUAGCAAAACAGGGGAAAAGAAUAUGACAGAGGAAUGGACUCUUAAUUUUUUCUUAACUGGUUUGGGAUUUUGCUUGCUUUUGGGGUCGUCGUUGGCGUCAAGCCAUUUGGUGUCAAGCGGUGUCUGUUUUUCAUAACUUUUAUUACUAAUUUUUAUGUCAUUUGCGAUUUUGUAUCCUAGGAUUUCUGAAUUUUAUCGUUCAUUGUCGGUUUUUAAUUUUUUUUUUCUCUUCGUUUGUUUGUUUAAUAUGUUGUGCUUGUGCUGGGACGCCGUUUUGCAAGUUCUCUUUCCAUUGGGACAGCUGCAUUUUUAAAGUGUUGA